rnacentral:rRNA from 1 species
GAUGAACGCUGGCGGCGUGCCUAAUACAUGCAAGUCGAGCGAACGGACGAGAAGCUUGCUUCUCUGAUGUUAGCGGCGGACGGGUGAGUAACACGUGGAUAACCUACCUAUAAGACUGGGAUAACUUCGGGAAACCGUAGCUAAUACCGGAUAAUAUUUUGAACCGCAUGGUUCAAAAGUGAAAGACGGUCUUGCUGUCACUUAUAGAUGGAUCCGCGCUGCAUUAGCUAGUUGGUAGGGUAACGGCUUACCAAGGCAACGAUGCAUAGCCGACCUGAGAGGGUGAUCGGCCACACUGGAACUGAGACACGGUCCAGACUCCUACGGGAGGCAGCAGUAGGGAAUCGUCCGCAAUGGGCGAAAGCCUGACGGAGCAACGCCGCGUGAGUGAUGAAGGUCUUCGGAUCGUAAAACUCUGUUAUUAGGGAAGAACAUAUGUGUAAGUAACUGUGCACAUCUUGACGGUACCUAAUCAGAAAGCCACGGCUAACUACGUG